rnacentral:rRNA from 1 species
AUUGAACGCUGGCGGCAGGCUUAACACAUGCAAGUCGAGCGGUAACAGGGGAAGCUUGCUUCCCGCUGACGAGCGGCGGACGGGUGAGUAAUGCUUAGGAAUCUGCCCAGUAGUGGGGGAUAGCCCGGGGAAACCCGGAUUAAUACCGCAUACGUCCAACGGGAGAAAGCAGGGGAUCUUCGGACCUUGCGCUAUUGGAUGAGCCUAAGUCGGAUUAGCUAGUUGGUGGGGUAAAGGCCUACCAAGGCGACGAUCCGUAGCUGGUCUGAGAGGAUGAUCAGCCACAUCGGGACUGAGACACGGCCCGAACUCCUACGGGAGGCAGCAGUGGGGAAUAUUGGACAAUGGGGGCAACCCUGAUCCAGCCAUGCCGCGUGUGUGAAGAAGGCUUUCGGGUUGUAAAGCACUUUCAGUAGGGAGGAAAACCUUAUGGUUAAUACCCAUGAGGCUUGACGUUACCUACAGAAGAAGCACCGGCUAACUCCGUGCCAGCAGCCGCGGUAAUACGGAGGGUGCAAGCGUUAAUCGGAAUUACUGGGCGUAAAGCGCGCGUAGGUGGUUUGGUAAGCGAGAUGUGAAAGCCCCGGGCUUAACCUGGGAACGGCAUUUCGAACUGUCAGACUAGAGUGUGGUAGAGGGUAGUGGAAUUUCCUGUGUAGCGGUGAAAUGCGUAGAUAUAGGAAGGAACACCAGUGGCGAAGGCGGCUACCUGGACCAACACUGACACUGAGGUGCGAAAGCGUGGGGAGCAAACAGGAUUAGAUACCCUGGUAGUCCACGCCGUAAACGAUGUCAACUAGCCGUUGGGACUCUUGAAGUCUUAGUGGCGCAGCUAACGCACUAAGUUGACCGCCUGGGGAGUACGGCCGCAAGGUUAAAACUCAAAUGAAUUGACGGGGGCCCGCACAAGCGGUGGAGCAUGUGGUUUAAUUCGACGCAACGCGAAGAACCUUACCUGGCCUUGACAUCCAGAGAACUUUCCAGAGAUGGAUUGGUGCCUUCGGGAACUCUGAGACAGGUGCUGCAUGGCCGUCGUCAGCUCGUGUCGUGAGAUGUUGGGUUAAGUCCCGUAACGAGCGCAACCCCUAUCCCUGGUUGCUAGCAGGUAAUGCUGAGAACUCCAGGGAGACUGCCGGUGACAAACCGGAGGAAGGUGGGGAUGACGUCAGGUCAUCAUGGCCCUUACGGCCAGGGCUACACACGUGCUACAAUGGCGCGUACAGAGGGCUGCCAACUCGCGAGAGUGAGCCAAUCCCUUAAAACGCGUCGUAGUCCGGAUCGGAGUCUGCAACUCGACUCCGUGAAGUCGGAAUCGCUAGUAAUCGCGAAUCAGAAUGUCGCGGUGAAUACGUUCCCGGGCC